UACGUAGGGUGCAAGCGUUAAUCGGAAUUACUGGGCGUAAAGCGUGCGCAGGCGGUUUGUAAGCCAGAUGUGAAAUCCCCGGGCUUAACCUGGGAAUGGCAUUUGGGACUGCAAGGCUUGAGUGCGGCAGAGGAGACUGGAAUCCUGGUGUAGCAGUGAAAUGCGUAGAUAUCAGGAGGAACACCGAUGGCGAAGGCAGGUCUCUGGGCUGACACUGACGCUCAUGCACG
rnacentral:rRNA from 1 species